UACAGAGGGUGCGAGCGUUAAUCGGAAUUACUGGGCGUAAAGCGCGCGUAGGCGGCUUUUCAAGUCGAUUGUGAAAUCCCCGGGCUUAACCUGGGAAUGGCAUUUGAGACUGCAUAGCUAGGGUGCGGAAGAGGGAAGCGGAAUUUCCGGUGUAGCGGUGAAAUGCGUAGAUAUCGGAAGGAACACCAGUGGCGAAAGCGGCUUCCUGGUCCAGCACCGACGUCAAGCACGAAAGCGUGGGGAGCAAACAGG
rnacentral:rRNA from 1 species